rnacentral:rRNA from 1 species
UACGGAGGGUGCAAGCGUUAUCCGGAUUCACUGGGUUUAAAGGGUGCGUAGGCGGGCAGGGAAGUCAGUGGUGAAAUCUCCGGGCUUAACUCGGAAACUGCCGUUGAUACUCUCUGUCUUGAAUCCCGUGGAGGUGAGCGGAAUAUGUCAUGUAGCGGUGAAAUGCUUAGAUAUGACAUAGAACACCAAUUGCGAAGGCAGCUCGCUACACGAAGAUUGACUCUGAGGCACGAAAGCGUGGGGAUCAAACAGG